CCUUCAUUCACGCACUCACUCGCGACACCAGCAGCAAUAUUCCGAUGGACAACGAGUGAAUAUUUAACCAACAAACAUUGCAAAAUGAUUCAUCUGUGGAGAGGAAUCGUUGUUCUGUUACUAUUUACAACAUGUGAUUCUCUACUUUCCAGUGUUGAACUGGCAUUGCUUGAAAACUGUGAGCUUGAUUUUGAAACACUGAAGAUCUUGAACCAAACCCAGAACAUUACAUACUUAUCAGAGGAGGUGAGAUGUAUUUGGUCAUUUCUUUAACAUGAAUAUAAACAUAUUCACUGACAGGACUGUCAU